rnacentral:rRNA from 1 species
GAUGAACGCUGGCGGCGUGCCUAACACAUGCAAGUCGAACGGUGACACGAGUAGUUGCCCCCGUUGAUGAGUGCGGAACGCGUGCGUGACACGUGAGUAACCUGCCCAUCUCUCUCGGAUAAGCACUCGAAACGGUGCCUAAUACUGGAUACGACCAACCCUUGCGUGGGGUGCUGGUGGAAAGAUUUAUCUGUGAGGGAUGGACUCGCGCCGUAUUAGCUUGUUGGCGGGGUAAUGGCGUACCAAGGCGACGACGCGUCGCCGAACUGAGAGGCUGAUGGGCCACACUGGAACUGAGACACGGUCCAGACUCCUACGAGAGGCAGCAGUAGGGAAUGUUCGGCAAAGGGCGGAAGCCUGACGCAGCGAGCCCGCGUGGGUGACGAAGGCCUUCGGUUAGUAAAGCCCGUUUUUUGGGAAAGAACAUCUGUCAGAAAAAAAGAAGCGGUCGUGACGGUACCUAAAGAAAAAGCACCGGCUAACUACGUG